rnacentral:rRNA from 1 species
GAUGAACGCUGGCGGCGUGGCUAAUACAUGCAAGUCGAGCGAACGGACGAGAAGCUUGCUUCUCUGAUGUUAGCGGCGGACGGGUGAGUAACACGUGGAUAACCUACCUAUAAGACUGGGAUAACUUCGGGAAACCGGAGCUAAUACCGGAUAAUAUUUUGAACCGCAUGGUUCAAAAGUGAAAGACGGUCUUGCUGUCACUUAUAGAUGGAUCCGCGCUGCAUUAGCUAGUUGGUAAGGUAACGGCUUACCAAGGCAACGAUGCAUAGCCGACCUGAGAGGGUGAUCGGCCACACUGGAACUGAGACACGGUCCAGACUCCUACGGGAGGCAGCAGUAGGGAAUCUUCCGCAAUGGGCGAAAGCCUGACGGAGCAACGCCGCGUGAGUGAUGAAGGUCUUCGGAUCGUAAAACUCUGUUAUUAGGGAAGAACAUAUGUGUAAGUAACUGUGCACAUCUUGACGGUACCUAAUCAGAAAGCCACGGCUAACUACGUGCCAGCAGCCGCGGUAAUACGUAGGUGGCAAGCGUUAUCCGGAAUUAUUGGGCGUAAAGCGCGCGUAGGCGGUUUUUUAAGUCUGAUGUGAAAGCCCACGGCUCAACCGUGGAGGGUCAUUGGAAACUGGAAAACUUGAGUGCAGAAGAGGAAAGUGGAAUUCCAUGUGUAGCGGUGAAAUGCGCAGAGAUAUGGAGGAACACCAGUGGCGAAGGCGACUUUCUGGUCUGUAACUGACGCUGAUGUGCGAAAGCGUGGGGAUCAAACAGGAUUAGAUACCCUGGUAGUCCACGCCGUAAACGAUGAGUGCUAAGUGUUAGGGGGUUUCCGCCCCUUAGUGCUGCAGCUAACGCAUUAAGCACUCCGCCUGGGGAGUACGACCGCAAGGUUGAAACUCAAAGGAAUUGACGGGGACCCGCACAAGCGGUGGAGCAUGUGGUUUAAUUCGAAGCAACGCGAAGAACCUUACCAAAUCUUGACAUCCUUUGACAACUCUAGAGAUAGAGCUUUCCCCUUCGGGGGACAAAGUGACAGGUGGUGCAUGGUUGUCGUCAGCUCGUGUCGUGAGAUGUUGGGUUAAGUCCCGCAACGAGCGCAACCCUUAAGCUUAGUUGCCAUCAUUAAGUUGGGCACUCUAAGUUGACUGCCGGUGACAAACCGGAGGAAGGUGGGGAUGACGUCAAAUCAUCAUGCCCCUUAUGAUUUGGGCUACACACGUGCUACAAUGGACAAUACAAAGGGCAGCGAAACCGUGAGGUCAAGCAAAUCCCAUAAAGUUGUUCUCAGUUCGGAUUGUAGUCUGCAACUCGACUACAUGAAGCUGGAAUCGCUAGUAAUCGUAGAUCAGCAUGCUACGGUGAAUACGUUCCCGGGUCU